AUUGAACGCUGGCGGCAUGCUUUACACAUGCAAGUCGAACGGUAACAGGCCGCAAGGUGCUGACGAGUGGCGAACGGGUGAGUAAUGCAUCGGAACGUGCCCAGUCGUGGGGGAUAACGCAGCGAAAGCUGCGCUAAUACCGCAUACGAUCUAUGGAUGAAAGCGGGGGACCGUAAGGCCUCGCGCGAUUGGAGCGGCCGAUGUCAGAUUAGGUAGUUGGUGGGGUAAAGGCUCACCAAGCCGACGAUCUGUAGCUGGUCUGAGAGGACGACCAGCCACACUGGGACUGAGACACGGCCCAGACUCCUACGGGAGGCAGCAGUGGGGAAUUUUGGACAAUGGGGGCAACCCUGAUCCAGCAAUGCCGCGUGCAGGAAGAAGGCCUUCGGGUGGUAAACUGCUUUUGUACGGAACGAAACGGCUCUGGUUAAUACCUGGGGCUAAUGACGGUACCGUAAGAAUAAGCACCGGCUAACUACGUGCCAGCCGCCGCAGUAACAC
rnacentral:rRNA from 1 species